CUGUGGCUACAUCAGGCAAAUGGGAGAAUCUGAUGAUUGCCUGAAGCGCCUGGCGGUAAAGGAUAAAAUCAUUGACCCAAAAAUGGACGCCUAGUGAGUCCAGAUGCUGUCCAAACCACAAGACCUGCCAGGAAACUCUUUUGGACAAUAAAAAGUCCAUUUGAAGUCA